CCGGGACAGCUUGAGUUGAUUUGCACGCUUUACCGAGCUGCAGGUCAAAUUACUGUCCCUAAAGCCUAGAGAGUGCAAGAACGAGAGAAGCGUUACUUGCUGUGACGUUUAUACUGUUGCACUCCCACAUUU
rnacentral:snoRNA from 1 species